rnacentral:rRNA from 1 species
AUUGAACGCUGGCGGCAGGCCUAACACAUGCAAGUCGAGCGAGCGGCGGACGGGUGUGUAUUGUGUGGGGACUGCCCGAUAGAGGGGGAUAACUCCUGGAAACGCUAGCUCAUAUCGCAUAUUCCCGGAUUAUCCAUAUGGGAUUAGCUAGUAGGUGGUGUAAAGGCUCACCUAGGCGACGAUCGCUAGCGGGUCUGAGAGGAUGAUCAGCCACACUGGAACGGAGACACGGCCCAGACUCCUACGGAGGCAGCAGUGGGGAAUAUUGCACAAUGGGCGCAAGCCUGAUGCAGCCAUGCCGCGUGGGUGAAGAAGGCCUUAGGGUUGUAAAGUACUUUCAGUGGGGAGGCGUUACCGGCAGAAGAAGCACCGGCUAACUCCGUGCCAGCAGCCGCGGUAAUUC